UCUGGGUGGGUUAGCGGCCGCCUGUAACCCGAGCGGGAGUUGGAGGCUGUGGAGCAGGGCUCAUCUACUGGAACCGGUUGCGGCAUGUGGAUGGUGUGUCCACCCGAAGCGUGGGGUCGCCACAUGAGAUCUUCCCGGAAGGGAAAAUGUCGGUGGUGGUAGUGUAGAGGGCAACGCGUGAGGCGGGCAACCGAGCAACGACCACCUCUCGCCCUGUGCAGUCGGGGGAUUGCAUGCUUGAAUGUCCGCUCACCGGAUACCUCAGUAGAUACCAGCUCUGUCACCAGCCCC
rnacentral:SRP_RNA from 1 species